rnacentral:rRNA from 1 species
UGGGGAAUUUUGGACAAUGGGGGCAACCCUGAUCCAGCAAUGCCGCGUGUGUGAAGAAGGCCUUCGGGUUGUAAAGCACUUUUGUCCGGGAAGAAAUCGCACCUGAUAAUACCGGGUGUGGAUGACGGUACCGGAAGAAUAAGGACCGGCUAACUACGUGCCAGCAGCCGCGGUAAUACGUAGGGUCCAAGCGUUAAUCGGAAUUACUGGGCGUAAAGCGUGCGCAGGCGGUUGUACAAGACCGAUGUGAAAUCCCCGGGCUUAACCUGGGGAUUGCAUGGGUGACUGCACGGCUAGAGUGUGUCAGAGGGGGGUAGAAUUCCACGUGUAGCAGUGAAAUGCGUAGAGAUGUGGAGGAAUACCGAUGGCGGAGGCAGCCCCCUGGGAUAACACUGACGCUCAUGCACGAAAGCGUGGGGAGCAAACAGG